rnacentral:rRNA from 1 species
GAUGAACGCUGGCGGUAUGCCUAACACAUGCAAGUCGUACGAGAGUUUUUAACUCUAGUGGCGGACGGGUGAGUAACACGUGAGAAUUUGCCUUUAGGAGGGGGACAACAAUUGGAAACGAAUGCCUAAUACCCCCAUAUGCUUUCGAGUGAAAUGGAUUUUAUCCGCCUAGAGAGAAGCUCGCGGCUGAUUAGCUUGUUGGUAAGGUAAGAGCUUACCAAGGCGACGAUCAGUAUCUGGUUUGAGAGGACGAUCAGACACACUGGAACUGAGACACGGCCCCAGACUCCUACGGGAGGCAGCAGUGGGGAAUCUUAGACAAUGGGGGAAACCCUGAUCCAGCAAUGCCGCGUGCAGGAUGAAGGCCUUCGGGUUGUAAACUGCUUUUGUACGGAACGAAACGGUGCUCACUAAUACUGGGCGCUAAUGACGGUACCGUAAGAAUAAGCACCGGCUAACUACGUG